CGCAAGCCUGACGGAGCAACGCCGCGUGUGGGAAGAAGGCUCUUGGGCUGUCAACCACUUUUCUCAGGGAAGAAGUCCUGACGGUACCUGAGGAAUCAGCCUCGGCUAACUCCGUGCCAGCAGCCGCGGUAAUACGGAGGAGGCAAGCGUUAUCCGGAAUUAUUGGGCGUAAAGCGUCCGCAGGGGGCACAUCAAGUCUGCUGUUAAAGGCUGGAGCUUAACUCCGGUAGAGCAGUGGAAACUGGUGUGCUAGAGGGCGACAGGGGUAGAGGGAAUUCCCAGUGUAGCGGUGAAAUGCGUAGAGAUUGGGAAGAACCCCGGUGGCGAAAGCGCUCUACUGGGUCGCACCUGACCCUCA
rnacentral:rRNA from 1 species